AGUGAACGCUGGCGGUAGGCCUAACACAUGCAAGUCGAACGGCAGCACAGUAAGAGCUUGCUCUUACGGGUGGCGAGUGGCGGACGGGUGAGGAAUACAUCGGAAUCUACUUUUUCGUGGGGGAUAAUGUAGGGAAACUUACGCUAAUACCGCAUACGACCUACGGGUGAAAGCAGGGGAUCUUCGGACCUCGCGCGAUUGAAUGAGCCGAUGUCGGAUUAGCAAGUUGGCGGGGUAAAGGCCCACUAAGGCGACGAUCCGUAGCUGGUCUGAGUGGAUGAUAGGACACACUGGAACUGAGACACGGUACAGACUCCUACGGGAGGCAGCAGUGGGAUAUAUUGGACAAUGGGCGCAAGCCUGAUCCAGCCAUACCGCGUAGGUGAAGAAGACCUUCGGGUUGUAAAGCCCUUUUGUUGGGAAAGAAAAGCAGCAGGUUAAUACCCCGCUGUUCUGACGGUACCCAAAGAAUAAGCACCGGCUAACUUCGUG
rnacentral:rRNA from 1 species